rnacentral:rRNA from 1 species
UAGCUACAGGCUUAACACAUGCAAGUCCUGGGGCAGCAUUUCAGUUUGCUUGCAAACUGGAGAUGGCGACCGGCGCACGGGUGAGUAACACGUAUCCAACCUGCCGAUAACUCGGGGAUAGCCUUUCGAAAGAAAGAUUAAUACCCGAUGGUAUAAUUAGACCGCAUGGUCUUGUUAUUAAAGAAUUUCGGUUAUCGAUGGGGAUGCGUUCCAUUAGGCAGUUGGUGAGGUAACGGCUCACCAAACCUUCGAUGGAUAGGGGUUCUGAGAGGAAGGUCCCCCACAUUGGAACUGAGACACGGUCCAAACUCCUACGGGAGGCAGCAGUGAGGAAUAUUGGUCAAUGGGCGCAGGCCUGAACCAGCCAAGUAGCGUGAAGGAUGACUGCCCUAUGGGUUGUAAACUUCUUUUAUAUGGGAAUAAAGUUUUCCACGUGUGGAAUUUUGUAUGUACCAUAUGAAUAAGGAUCGGCUAACUCCGUGCCAGCAGCCGCGGUAAUACGGAGGAUCCGAGCGUUAUCCGGAUUUAUUGGAUUUAAAGGGAGCGUAGGUGGACAGUUAAGUCAGUUGUGAAAGUUUGCGGCUCAACCGUAAAAUUGCAGUUGAUACUGGCUGUCUUGAGUACAGUAGAGGUGGGCGGAAUUCGUGGUGUAGCGGUGAAAUGCUUAGAUAUCACGAAGAACUCCGAUUGCGAAGGCAGCUCACUGGACUGCAACUGACACUGAUGCUCGAAAGUGUGGGUAUCAAACAGGAUUAGAUACCCUGGUAGUCCACACAGUAAACGAUGAAUACUCGCUGUUUGCGAUAUACAGUAAGCGGCCAAGCGAAAGCAUUAAGUAUUCCACCUGGGGAGUACGCCGGCAACGGUGAAACUCAAAA